AACGAACGCUGGCGGCAUGCCUAACACAUGCAAGUCGAACGAGACCUUCGGGUCUAGUGGCGCACGGGUGCGUAACGCGUGGGAACCUGCCCUUAGGUUCGGAAUAACUCCCCGAAAGGGGUGCUAAUACCGGAUAAUGUCUUCGGACCAAAGAUUUAUCGCCUUUGGAUGGGCCCGCGUUGGGUUAGCUAGUUGGUAGGGUAAAAGCCUACCAAGGCGACGAUCCAUAGCUGGUCUGAGAGGAUGAUCAGCCACACUGGGACUGAGACACGGCCCAGACUCCUACGGGAGGCAGCAGUGGGGAAUAUUGGACAAUGGGCGAAAGCCUGAUCCAGCAAUGCCGCGUGAGUGAUGAAGGCCUUAGGGUUGUAAAGCUCUUUUACCCGGGAUGAUAAUGACAGUACCGGGAGAAUAAGCGCCGGCUAACUCCGUG
rnacentral:rRNA from 1 species